rnacentral:miRNA from 1 species
AGGGAGACCAACUGCCUUCGUUUGCCUGGGACUGAGGGUUCCCCGGGAUACAGGACCUUCAGUGCUA